CAGAGAGUAGUUUAAGUUUUAAAAUUCUGGUUUUGGGGACCGGAGAUGAGUAGUAUUCCUCUUUGA
rnacentral:tRNA from 1 species